rnacentral:rRNA from 1 species
AUGCCACCUUUGCUAGCGGCGGCCAGCGGGUCUCCAUGGGCAUCGCUGCCAGAAGAUCUGGUUCGCCUUGUUGGCUGGCGCUUGCUGUCCGGCGACCUGACGGACUAUGUCCGCUUCCGUGCUGCCUGCACCAAUUGGCGGUCUGCCACCAAGUCUCCGUGUGGCCGUGGCAUCAUUGAUCCACGUUUUCACCCGCGCCGCUGGAUGAUGUUCGCUGAGGGCCACGGGCUUUAUCCUGGCCAUGAAAGGCUCGGUGAACACACACGCUUCUUCAACCUUGACUCUGGGGUUUUAGUUCGCGUCCGGCUCCCGCUGUUCAAGGAUCACUGUGUUCUUGACUCGGUCGAGGGCCUCCUGCUCCUCCAGCGAGACGAGGACACGGCCAUCCGCCUCCUCCACCCUUUCACCGGUGAUAUUGUUGAGCUCCCACCACUAGCGUCUCAUAACUUGCACAUGAGUCAUCCAUAUGCGAACCUGCCACAGCUGAGACGCAUGUCCGCUUCUGUUUCUAUUGAUGCCGGAGUCGUGAGGGUGAUGGUUAUCUUCAUUCACCUGAUGUAUGCGGCUGUUGCCACCUCCCAGGAUACUAAAUGGACUUUUCUAAUGCAUUGGAGACUUCCAAGUCAUUAUGGACCGUUGUCGUUCCGAGGCAAGCAAUACCUGGUGCAUCAGACUAUGAAUAUGGAAAAUACUUAUUUAUCACAGAUUUUUUAG